GAAAGGGCAUGAUACCGAACAUGCCUGGGACAAAAUCAUGUCCCCUAUUAAA
rnacentral:ncRNA from 1 species